rnacentral:lncRNA from 1 species
CCCAAUUUCCCCUAAACCCUAUACUUUCCUAGUUGCAGGGUACAAUGCACCUAGCUAGUAGCUAGCUGGGUACACCACAUCAUGCAAUACCAGAUAUAUGCAUAUAUAAUGCAUCGAUGGAGUUGGAAAAGGCCACGCCAAUGUGAUUGCCACGUAUUGAAGGGCAAGGUGGGUUUGCCUUUGCUCACAUCACAUGCAACAGUGAGAUAACGGCCAUAAUAUAUGGCUUUC